GACGAACGCUGGCGGCGUGCUUAACACAUGCAAGUCGAACGGGAUCCGGGCUUUCGGGUUUGGUGAGAGUGGCGAACGGGUGAGUAGCACGUGAGUAACCUGCCCCCUUCUUUGGGAUAACGUCGGGAAAUCGGCGCUAAUACUGGAUAUUCUUGCUGCAUCGCAUGGUGUGGUUUGGAAAGGGUUUCUGGUGGGGGAUGGGCUCGCGGCCUAUCAGCUUGUUGGUGGGGUGAUGGCCUACCAAGGCUUUGACGGGUAGCCGGCCUGAGAGGGUGUCCGGCCACACUGGGACUGAGACACGGCCCAGACUCCUACGGGAGGCAGCAGUGGGGAAUAUUGCACAAUGGGCGCAAGCCUGAUGCAGCGACGCCGCGUGAGGGAUGACGGCCUUCGGGUUGUAAACCCCUUUCAGUAUGGAACAAGGAUCCUUCUUUUGGGGGGUUUGAGGGUACGUGCAGAAGAAGCGCCGGCUAACUACGUG
rnacentral:rRNA from 1 species